AGCGAUUCCCAUUCACUGAUACUCAACAGGCUUCAGAAUAUAUUCCCAGAAUGCUAAGGAGAUGGUCGCUUAGGAGGAGAGUGCAGAAACAUAAACUGUGAUGAGACAACACAGCACUAGGACGCUAAGAAAUACACCAUAAGUUUCAACAUGAAAGAGCUUGUCCUAUCACUCCUGAGUCGAGGAUAUAGUCAUGUGGUCAAGACGGAUGGCAGAAGACAAUAUGGAAGAGUGGAAGUCUGUUACGAACCUGAGGACUACUUCAUCUGGAAAUCCCAGCCCCCUCUGCUUCGCUUAUCCAGGAGUGGAACGCUGCUUUGUGGAGUAGAGCCGACACCCCCUAAAACCUACACCACUAGGAGAGGGCCACUUAUUCUGUACUCAGAAGAUUUUGCCUCAUCAUCCUCACAACCUGACAAAGUCAACAGGAAGGAGCGUGUUUUAAGGGCUUCCG